CACGUAGGAGGCAAACGUUAUCCGGAUUUACUGGGCGUAAAGCGCGUGUAGGUGGUUCUGUAAGUAGGGCGUGAAAGCUCCCGGCUCAACUGGGAGAGGCCGUUCUAAACUGCAGAGCUAGAGGAUGGUAGAGGGAGGUGGAAUUCCAGGUGUAGCGGUGGAAUGCGCAGAUAUCUGGAGGAACACCAGUGGCGAAGGCGGCCUCCUGGACCAUUCCUGACACUCAGACGCGAAAGCUAGGGUAGCAAACGGGAUUAGAUACCCGGGUAGGUCCCU
rnacentral:rRNA from 1 species